rnacentral:rRNA from 1 species
AGCAGCCGCGGUAAUUCCAGCUCCAAUAGCGUAUAUUAAAGUUGUUGCAGUUAAAAAGCUCGUAGUUGAAUUUCGGGAUCAGUACGCUGGUCAUGCCUUUGGUAUGCACUGGUGUCACUGGUUUCUCCCUUCUGAAGAACCGUGAUGUCAUUAAUUUGGUGUCGCGGGGAAUCAGGACUGUUACUUUGAAAAAUUAGAGUGUUUAAAGCAGGCUCACGCUUGAAUACAUUAGCAUGGAAUAAUGAAAUAGGACGUUUGACCCUAUUUUGUUGGUUUCUAGGAUCGACGUAAUGAUUAAUAGGGAUAGUUGGGGGCAUUAGUAUUCAAUUGUCAGAGGUGAAAUUCUUGGAUUUAUUGAAGACUAACUACUGCGAAAGCAUUUGCCAAGGAUGUUUUCAUUAAUCAAGAACGAAAGUUAGGGGAUCGAAGACGAUCAGAUACCGUCGUAGUCUUAACCAUAAACUAUGCCGACUAGGGAU